rnacentral:rRNA from 1 species
AUUGAACGCUGGCGGCAUGCCUUACACAUGCAAGUCGAACGGUAACAGGUCUUCGGAUGCUGACGAGUGGCGAACGGGUGAGUAAUACAUCGGAACGUGCCUAGUAGUGGGGGAUAACUACUCGAAAGAGUGGCUAAUACCGCAUUAGAUCUACGGAUGAAAGCAGGGGAUCGCAAGAACUUGUGCUACUAAAGCGGCCGAUGGCAGAUUAGGUAGUUGGUGGGAUAAAAGCGUACCAAGUCGACGAUCUGUAGCUGGUCUGAGAGGACGAUCAGCCACACUGGGACUGAGACACGGCCCAGACUCCUACGGGAGGCAGCAGUGGGGAAUUUUGGACAAUGGGCGCAAGCCUGAUCCAGCAAUGCCGCGUGCAGGAUGAAGGCCUUCGGGUUGUAAACUGCUUUUGUACGGAACGAAAAGCCCCGGGUUAAUACCCUGGGGUCAUGACGGUACCGUAAGAAUAAGCACCGGCUAACUACGUGCCAGCCGCCGCCGUAA